AUUGAACGCUGGCGGCAUGCUUUACACAUGCAAGUCGAACGGUAGAGGGGCAACCCUUGAGAGUGGCGAACGGGUGAGUAAUGCAUCGGAACGUGCCCAGUCGUGGGGGAUAGCCCGGCGAAAGCCGGAUUAAUACCGCAUACGACCUGAGGGUGAAAGCGGGGGAUCGCAAGACCUCGCGCUAUUGGAGCGGCCGAUGUCAGAUUAGGUAGUGGGUGGGGUAAAGGCCUACCAAGCCGACGCUCUGUAGCUGGUCUGAGAGGACGAGCAGCCACACUGGGACUGAGACACGGCACAGACUCCUACGGGAGGCAGCAGUGGGGAAUUUUGGACAAUGGGCGCAAGCCUGAUCCAGCCAUGCCGCGUGCGGGAAGAAGGCCUUCGGGUUGUAAACCGCUUUUGUCAGGGAAGAAAUCUUCUGGGCUAAUACCCCGGGAGGAUGACGGUACCUGAAGAAUAAGCACCGGCUAACUACGUGCCAGCCGCCGCAGUAACAC
rnacentral:rRNA from 1 species